AGCGAACAUUGGCGGCAGGCCUAACACAUGCAAGUCGAACGCGUUCUUCGGAACGAGUGGCGAACGGGUGAGUAUAACUUGGGAAUCUACCAUAGUCUGGGGGAUAACUGUUGGAAACAGCAGCUAAUACCGCAUAAUCCUUACGAGGGAAAGCUCCGGCGGACAAUGAUGAGCCCAAGCCUGAUUAGCUUGUUGGUGAGGUAAAAGCUCACCAAGGCAACGAUCAGUAGCUGGUUUGAGAGGAUGAUCAGCCACACUGGGACUGAGACACGGCCCAGACUCCUACGGGAGGCAGCAGUGGGGAAUAUUGCGCAAUGGGGGCAACCCUGACGCAGCCAUGCCGCGUGCACGAUGAAGGCCCUAGGGUUGUAAAGUGCUUUCGAGUGGGAAGAUAAUGACGGUACCACUAAAAGAAGUCCCGGCUAACUCCG
rnacentral:rRNA from 1 species